rnacentral:rRNA from 1 species
UACAGAGGGUGCAAGCGUUAAUCGGAAUUACUGGGCGUAAAGCGCGCGUAGGUGGCUUGGUAAGUUGAAUGUGAAAUCCCCGGGCUCAACCUGGGAACUGCAUCCAAAACUGCCUGGCUAGAGUACGGUAGAGGGUGGUGGAAUUUCCUGUGUAGCGGUGAAAUGCGUAGAUAUAGGAAGGAACACCAGUGGCGAAGGCGACCACCUGGACUGAUACUGACACUGAGGUGCGAAAGCGUGGGGAGCAAACAGGAUUAGAUACCCCGGUAGUCC